CGGACGGGUGAGUAACGCGUGGGUAACCUGCCUUGUACAGGGGGAUAACAGUUGGAAACGGCUGCUAAUACCGCAUAAGCGCACGGCUCGGCAUCGAGCAGAGGGAAAAGGAGUGAUCCACUUUGAGAUGGCCUCGCGUCCGAUUAGCUAGUUGGUGAGGUAACGGCCCACCAAGGCGACGAUCGGUAGCCGGACUGAGAGGUUGAACGGCCACAUUGGGACUGAGACACGGCCCAG
rnacentral:rRNA from 1 species